CCCCUAGAUGUUCUGGGCCGCACGCGCGCUACACUGAACAGUUCAACAAGUCUUAACCUUGGCCGAUAGGUCUGGGUAAUCUUUGAACGCUGUUCGUGAUUGGGAUAGACCUUUGCAAUUAUGGGUCUUCAACGAGGAAUUCCUAGUAAACGCAAGUCAUCAGCUUGCAUUGAUUACGUCCCUGCCCUUUGUACACACCGCCCGUCGCACCUACCGAUUGAAUGGCCCGGUGAAAUCUCGGGACGGCGGCUUGGUCGCUUGCGUCCGACUGCUGAAACUUGAUUAAACCAUAUCAUUUAGAGGAAGGUGAAGUCGUAACA
rnacentral:rRNA from 1 species